UAGGGAAUCUUCCGCAAUGGACGCAAGUCUGACGGAGCAACGCCGCGUGAGUGAAGAAGGAUUUCGGUUCGUAAAACUCUGUUGUUAGAGAAGAACAGCGCAUAGAGUAACUGUUAUGCGUGUGACGGUAUCUAACCAGAAAGCCACGGCUAACUACGUGCCAGCAGCCGCGGUAAUACGUAGGUCCCGAGCGUUGUCCGGAUUUAUUGGGCGUAAAGCGAGCGCAGGCGGUUAGAUAAGUCUGAAGUUAAAGGCAGUGGCUCAACCAUUGUAGGCUUUGGAAACUGUUUAACUUGAGUGCAGAAGGGGAGAGUGGAAUUCCAUGUGUAGCGGUGAAAUGCGUAGAUAUAUGGAGGAACACCGGUGGCGAAAGCGGCUCUCUGAUCUGUAACUGACGCUGAGGCUCGAAAGCGUGGGGAGCGAACAGG
rnacentral:rRNA from 1 species